rnacentral:rRNA from 1 species
GAUGAACGCUGGCGGCGUGCCUAACACAUGCAAGUCGAACGAGAAGUUAACCGCUGAUUCCUUCGGGAUGAGGAGGUUAGCAGAAAGUGGCGAACGGGUGAGUAACGCGUGGGUAAUCUACCCUGUAAGUGGGGGAUAACCCUCCGAAAGGAGGGCUAAUACCGCAUAAUAUCUUCACUUCUAAAAGAAGAGAAGAUUAAAGAUGGCCUCUGUCUUAAGCUAUCACUUCAGGAUGAGCCUGCGUCCUAUUAGUUAGUUGGUGGGGUAAUGGCCUACCAAGACCACAAUGGGUAGCCGGUCUGAGAGGAUGUACGGCCACACUGGGACUGAGAUACGGCCCAGACUCCUACGGGAGGCAGCAGUGGGGAAUAUUGCGCAAUGGGGGAAACCCUGACGCAGCGACGCCGCGUGGAUGAUGAAGGCCUUUGGGUUGUAAAAUCCUGUUUUGGGGGAAGAAACCUUAAGGGUCCGAUAAACCC